ACUAGAAAGCAGAGCACACUCAGACCCAGCCCCACAGAAGGACAGAGAUGCAUCCUGAGGGAUUUGGUGAAGGCGGAUUAACAAACAUCACUGAGGAAGUGGUUGCAAAGAAAAAGAUGAGAUGUCCCAGAGGGAGUGACAUCCGGCAAGACUUCACAUUAAAUGAACUCUGGAAAAUAUUUCACAACACUAAAGAGGAAAGGCUAAAAUGCUGGAAGCUGAUCCACAAAGGCAAGCACUCUUCAAACUAAUCUUGGUGUUGCAGCUGAACAAAACACUUUUUCGAUUUUUAAUAUUUCUAAUGUUUUAAAUCGCAUGUGCUAUAAAUUUGAGUUUCACUUAUUUUUUUCACCUCCCAACACAUUAAUAACCAACCUACUUAAAAUGUUGAAUGUUUUGACAACAAAUUUUACAGGUCACAGAACACUGUAAUUUUUCCCACUGAUUUGCAAGAUCGCUUUAGAUGGUUUUAGUGUGUGUGGUCUUGCACUAUCAUGCACAGCAAGGACCAACUAUAUUUCUUAUUCCUCAUUAAAAAGUUAAUACAAGUAUGGAGUUCCAGUUGUGGCUCAGCAGAAAUGAAUCCGACUAGGACCAUGAGGUUGCAGGUUCCAUCCCUGGCCUCGCCCAGUGGGUUGGGGAUCCAGCGUUGCCGUGAGCUAUGGUGUAGGUCGCAGACAAGGUUCGGAUCUGGCAUUGCUGUGGCUCUGGUGUAGGCCGGCAGCUACAGCUCCUAUGAGACCCCCAGCCUGGGAACCUACAUAUGCCACGGGUGCGGCCAUAAAAAAAAAAAAGACAAAAAAAAAAAAAAAGUUAAUACAAGUACCGAAAACAGCAUCUGUCACACAGUUAGGGCUCAAUAAGUGUCUCGUGUUAUUCCAAAGGCAUUACAUACUGCUAAUCUUUUUUAGUGCAUAAAGUUUUCCUUAAUGUCCAUAUUUGCUGCUCUUUUUCUCUCCUUCCAUUCUCUCUUGAAACCAUUCCAAUCAGGCUUUUGUCCACACCCCUCCACCAAAAUUGCUCUCCUCAAAGUCACCAAUCACUGCUGAAUGGCUAAAUCCAACAGUAGCUAUAAAUUUGACUUAAUAUACUUGACAGUAGCAUUUAAUUCAAUUGAUUACAAACUACUUUGGCUUCUAAAGACCACACUCUCCUGGUUCCUUCCUACCCUGAAGGCAGACCCUUUUCAAUUUCCCUUGCUAGUAUUCGCCCUCCCUCUCUCCCUCUCUCUCUUUCUCACUCACACACACACACACACACACACACACACACCCCUUAUCAAAGCCAUCAGAAUAUUCUGUCAACCUGUUACCUUCUAGUCAUUAGAAUUACCCCUAUUUUACAGAUGAAGAAACUGAGCCACAGAAAAGUUACAUACUUGUCCAAAGUCACACAACUAAUUAGUUGCAGAACUGAGAACUGACUAAUACCCAGGUAGGCUAGCCUUAAGACUUUUAAAAUUGGAAAUUUCGACAUCAAGGGUCCCUGCGUGUCCCACCCCCCCCACCAAAAAAAACUGAGGUCUAAUUUCAAGAGUGCUUUUGAUAAAGACAAAAAUAAUCAUCUUUCUAACAGUUUCUUCCAACUAGACAAUUCAGAAAGUAAAUUUAACAUAAAACAUAGCUUUGUAAACCAAAAUAAACCUUUGUAAACCAAAACACAGCUUUAACAGUCUGUAAUGGAAUUUCCCUGUUUUAUAAUCUUUGUGUUUGUAUAUACUUUUAAAAAAUUAGAACCAUAUUUUGCUUUUUUAAUUUUUUAACUCAAAUGUAUCAUGCUUUACCCAUUAUAACAGUGUCCUCAAUAAAAUUAAACUUCAAUUUUUUUGGAAACCCUAAGGACUGGGAGUAAGAAAAUUUGCCAUUUUAAAACUAAGAACUUUUUCUAUUUCUCCAGAAAUAGAGGAUUACUUCACUUUUAACACACUGAUUGUUUUGAAAAAAACACUCUUUGGUUUUGCAAAGAUGAGGGCAAGAGCCUAUUCUGAAAAAGGAAAUACUGAGAAAAUGAAAAGCUAAUUGAUGAGUAAAGAGUCAAGAAAACUGGAUAGAUUUGAUCGAAUCAAAUCCAAUUUAAUCACUGUCCCAAGACUGACUUAAGGAAAGCAGUACUUUGGGAGGCCUUCAGAAAAAUAUGAACACCCUUCAUCAUUUCAUAAUAUUUCUUGUCUCAGAGAAGGAAAUGAAAUUAUCAGAUUAGGAUUACUGCCUAUUGUUCUCUGGGCACAGCAAUGCCUGCAUGCCUCUUCCCCAAAAGAUGUUCUACACUUAAAGAUAAGAAAAACAGCACCUCAAAAUUGCUUGCCCAACACCUCUUUGAAGGAGCUUCCAGUGUGGUUCAGUAGGUUAAGAACUCAACAUAGCAUCUGUGAGGUUGCAGGUUUGAUCCCUGGCCUUGCUCAGUCAGUUAAGGAUCCAGCAUUGUAGCAAGCUGCAGCACAGCUCACAGAUGCAGCCUGGAUCCUGCAUUGCUGUGUAGGCCCCAGCUGCAGCUCCAAUUCGAGCCCUAGCCUGGGAACUUCCAUAUGCCAUGGGUGUGGCUGUAAAAAAAAAAAAAAAAGAAAGAAACCAAAAAAUCUCUUUGAAGACUGGAAAUUUAUUAGAAAAUAAAUUUAAAACAACAACAACAACACUUGCCCCUCAUUUCCUAAACAAGGAGAGUCAAUUAUGACAGGAUGACACUAUGGACCCAUUACAUCUGCCACAGAACUAAAAAAAAAAAAAAAAAAAAAAUCCUUACUUGUUCCAUCUGAAACAGAUAGGACAGAGUGUAUAGCACUUCUAGAGUUUGGGGAGGAUCAUGUGUUUGGUUUUGCUUUUAAUAUCAUCCAGUCCCUAGCAAGUAUACAACUUUCUUUCACGUCACCCUGCCCUAGUGAUUUAGCCAAAUAAACUGAUCAUCACAUAAACUGUUUAUUCUGGCUGACAUGAACUAGGUCAAGUUGUUUAGGGGAGAUAAAAGAAGGCUCCCAGUCAACCAGUGGGAACUGGACGUGAGCAGCAGCUGCUGUGGUACCCUGACUGAAAGGGUUUCGUUGACCACAACAGAAUAGAAGGAGGACAGGAGAUUUCAUACUAUAUAUAAAAAUGAACUUAAAACAGAUCAUAAAAUUUACAGAUCUAGAACUCUAAAACUUCUAGAGGAAAACACAGAAUAAGACCUUUCUGCCUUUCUCUAAGCAAAGAUUUCUCUUUUUAAAUGAAAGUACAGUUCAAUUGCAGAUAUAUAGAUGAUAAAUAAGCACAGGAAAAGGUAUUCAACACCAUUAGUCAUUUACAUAAGAGAAUAUGAGAUACCACUAUUGUUAUGUCCGAAUGUUUAUGUCCCCUCAAUAUCCAGGUGUUGAAAUCCUAACCCCCAGGUGAUGGUAUUAGAAGGUAGGGCCCUUGGGGGGUGCUUAGGUCAUGACGGUAGAGCCCCCAUGAAUGGGAAAAGUGCUCUUUUAAAAGAGAUCCCAAAGAACUGCCUUGCCUCUUAUACCACAUGAAAUUACGGUGGAAAUACAGCCAUCUAUGAACCCGGUAACAAGUCCUCACUGGAACCCAACCUUGCAGAAGACUUGAUCUUAGACUCUCCAGGCUCCACAAUUGUGAGAAAUUUCUUUUGUUUAUAGGCUACCAGGUCUAUAGUAUUUUAUCAUAGCAGCCCAAACAUAUUAGGAUAACCAUACAUCUACUAGAAUGUCAAAAUGAUAAAGACUCACCAUAACAAAUACCGGAGAGGAUGUGGAACAACUGGUACCCUCUGACACAGCUCGUGGGAAUGGAAAAUGGGACAAUACCUUUGAAAAACAGUUUGGCAGUUUCUUGAACUAUUAAAUAUACACUUAACCACAUGAACCAAAUUCCUAGGUAUUCACCCAAGAAAAACAAAAGCAUCUGUCCAUACAAAGACUUGUUCAGGAAUGUUUAUAGUGUCUUUAUUUGUAAUAGCCCAAAACUGCAAACAACCAAGUGUCCAUCAAAAGGUGAAUGGGAUAAACACAUCGAAGCAUAGCCAUACAAUGGAACACCAUCUAUCAAUAAAAAGGGAUGAACUGCUGAUACAUGCAACAGCAUGGGUGAGCCACAAAAUUAACAUCCCAAGCCAAAGAAAAAAUACCCCACAAAGAUAUAUAUGGUAUGAGCUCACUGACACAAAACUGCAGAAGAUGCAAACUAAUCUACAGUGACAGAAGGCAGAUCAAAGGUUGAUUAGGAUUGGAGGAAGGACCAGCAAGGGAGUGGAAGGAAGAAUUAUACACUAUAAAGGAAGGAGAAAGCUUGGACAACACCACAGACAUAGCAACGCAGGAUCCGAGCUGCGUCUGACCAAACCACAGCUCUUGGCAAUGCCAGAUCCAUAACCCACCGAGCAAGGCCAGGGAUCUAACCUGUGUCCUCAUGGAUGCUGGUCAGAUUCAUUAACUGCAGAGCCAUGAUGGGAACUCUGAUAUGUUCAUUAUAUUGACCGAGGUAAAGAUUUCACAGGUAUAGACAUAUAUCAAAUUUAUGAAAUUAUAUAUAUAUUAUUAAAUUAAAAUUUGUACAAUUUAUUGUAUAUCAACUUUACUUCAAUAAGGCUGUUUACAAAAAAACCUACUAUUAUAUUUCAAUUACUUCCUACAUGUCCAACAAUCGCUUUAUAUAUUUCAGAGUUAUAUUAUUUAGUGUCCAAAGUUUCACAACAAAAAUAUUUCCACUGGGAAUUAUACCAUUCCUUAAAGAAAAAAAAAAAAAAUCCUCCUUAUAAAAAUCUUACCUUGAAUUUUACUUAGGCUAGUAUUAAUGUAAUAGCUCCUCUCUGUAAUGCUUACAUUUGUCUCCCUUUGGCCUGGCCUCCCCAUUAGAUAGAUUACAUUGGGCAAGCCCCUUAUCUGUCUCAAGGGUGGCCGUGAUGGUUAAAUGAGUUAAUAUUUGUUAAAUUACUUAAAACAGAGUUUCUCAACCUUGGCAUUAUCUACAUUUCAGGCCUGAUAAUUCUCUGCCGUGAGGGUGGUCCUGUGCAUUUUAGCAUGUUUGGUAGAAUCCUCAGUCUCCACAAACCAGAUGUUAGCAGCAGCUUCUUCCCAGUUGUGACAACCAAAAAUAUCCUGGGAGGUUUCCAAAUGUCCCAAGGGGCGGGGGGGGGGGGCAAAAUCACCCCAACUGAGAACCACUAAUAUAAAACAAUGCCUGGAAUACACUAAAGGCUGUGUAUUUGUUAAAUAAUUGUACUGUGGCUUUGGCUGUGGCCUUUCUUCUUCCUAAGGCCACAGCUACCAUGCCAUGGAAAAGCCCAGCCGUAUCAGAAAGAAGCCCCAUUGCUCACAUACUGCUACUUGAUGUGGCCAUAUUUCUCCUGAGGCCCUUUGUAUUAACUGCUUUAGACGCUGUUGAUUCACAUCACGGAAGUUUUACCUUUUGUCCCAACGCCAUCCCCUCACCUCUAGCUCUCACCCCUCGAAAUAAGGACUAUCAGUGGGGAAUCUCCCAUAAUCUCCCUCGUCAUUUCAUGUGAUUCUACUGAUUUAAAAAGCAAUAUUAUAGGCCAGUUCUAAUGAUUUCUUUCAACAUAGCUCCUCCUAUAUUAUAGUUAGUAAAUAGUCUCUAGUAUUGAGGCAUAUAGAUGAUUUUCUUCCCUAUUUCCAGAGCUCUUUUGGAUUUGUUCUAUUUCAGGGUCAUCUUAAGUCAGUUUUGUGAAUGUGAGGAAGCCUGUGCCA
rnacentral:lncRNA from 1 species